CACAAAUGGGCGCAAGCCUGAUGCAGCCAUGCCGCGUGUGUGAAGAAGGCCUUCGGGUUGUAAAGCACUUUCAGUCGUGAGGAAGGCGGGUACGUUAAUAGCGUAUUCGUUUGACGUUAGCGACAGAAGAAGCACCGGCUAACUCCGUGCCAGCAGCCGCGGUAAUACGGAGGGUGCGAGCGUUAAUCGGAAUUACUGGGCGUAAAGCGCAUGCAGGUGGUUUGUUAAGUCAGAUGUGAAAAAGCCCGGGGCUCAAACCUCGGAAAUAGCAUUUGAAAACUGGCAGACUAGAGUACUGUAGAGGGGUAGAAUUUCAGGUGUAGCGGUGAAAAUGCGUAGAGAUCUGAAGGAAUACCGGUGGCGAAGGCGGCCCCUGGACAGAUACUGACACUCAGAUGCGAAAGCGUGGGGAGCAAACAGGAUUAGAUACCCUGGUAG
rnacentral:rRNA from 1 species